AUUGAACGCUGGCGGCAGGCCUAACACAUGCAAGUCGAGCGGAUGAAGGGAGCUUGCUCCUGGAUUCAGCGGCGGACGGGUGAGUAAUGCCUAGGAAUCUGCCUGGCAGUGGGGGAUAACGUCCGGAAACGGGCGCUAAUACCGCAUACGUCCUGAGGGAGAAAGGGGGGGAUCAUCGGACCUCAGGCUAUCAGAUGAGCCUAGGUCGGAUUAGCUAGUUGGUGGGGUAAAGGCCUACCAAGGCGACGAUCCGUAACUGGUCUGAGAGGAUGAUCAGUCACACUGGAACUGAGACACGGUCCAGACUCCUACGGGAGGCAGCAGUGGGGAAUAUUGGACAAUGGGCGAAAGCCUGAUCCAGCCAUGCCGCGUGUGUGAAGAAGGUCUUCGGAUUGUAAAGCACUUUAAGUUGGGAAGAAGGGCAGUAAGUUAAUACCUUGCUGUUUUGACGUUACCAACAGAAUAAGCACCGGCUAACUUCGUG
rnacentral:rRNA from 1 species